GACGUAGGGCGCGAGCGUUGUCCGGAAUUAUUGGGCGUAAAGAGCGUGUAGGCGGCCUUACAGGUCAGCUGUGAAAACUCGAGGCUCAACUUCGAGAUGUCGGCGGAAACCAUUUGGCUAGAGUCCGGAAGAGGAGAGUGGAAUUCCUGGUGUAGCGGUGAAAUGCGCAGAUAUCAGGAAGAACACCCGUGGCGAAGGCGGCUCUCUGGGACGGUACUGACGCUGAGACGCGAAAGCGUGGGGAGCGAACAGG
rnacentral:rRNA from 1 species